rnacentral:rRNA from 1 species
GGGUUGUGAGGUUAAGCGACUAAGCGUACACGGUGGAUGCCCUGGCAGUCAGAGGCGAUGAAGGACGUGCUAAUCUGCGAUAAGCGUCGGUAAGGUGAUAUGAACCGUUAUAACCGGCGAUUUCCGAAUGGGGAAACCCAGUGUGUUUCGACACACUAUCAUUAACUGAAUCCAUAGGUUAAUGAGGCGAACCGGGGGAACUGAAACAUCUAAGUACCCCGAGGAAAAGAAAUCAACCGAGAUUCCCCCAGUAGCGGCGAGCGAACGGGGAGCAGCCCAGAGCCUGAAUCAGUGUGUGUGUUAGUGGAAGCGUCUGGAAAGGCGCGCGAUACAGGGUGACAGCCCCGUACACAAAAAUGCACAUGCUGUGAGCUCGAUGAGUAGGGCGGGACACGUGGUAUCCUGUCUGAAUAUGGGGGGACCAUCCUCCAAGGCUAAAUACUCCUGACUGACCGAUAGUGAACCAGUACCGUGAGGGAAAGGCGAAAAGAACCCCGGCGAGGGGAGUGAAAAAGAACCUGAAACCGUGUACGUACAAGCAGUGGGAGCACGCUUAGGCGUGUGACUGCGUACCUUUUGUAUAAUGGGUCAGCGACUUAUAUUCUGUAGCAAGGUUAACCGAAUAGGGGAGCCGAAGGGAAACCGAGUCUUAACUGGGCGUUAAGUUGCAGGGUAUAGACCCGAAACCCGGUGAUCUAGCCAUGGGCAGGUUGAAGGUUGGGUAACACUAACUGGAGGACCGAACCGACUAAUGUUGAAAAAUUAGCGGAUGACUUGUGGCUGGGGGUGAAAGGCCAAUCAAACCGGGAGAUAGCUGGUUCUCCCCGAAAGCUAUUUAGGUAGCGCCUCGUGAAUUCAUCUCCGGGGGUAGAGCACUGUUUCGGCAAGGGGGUCAUCCCGACUUACCAACCCGAUGCAAACUGCGAAUACCGGAGAAUGUUAUCACGGGAGACACACGGCGGGUGCUAACGUCCGUCGUGAAGAGGGAAACAACCCAGACCGCCAGCUAAGGUCCCAAAGUCAUGGUUAAGUGGGAAACGAUGUGGGAAGGCCCAGACAGCCAGGAUGUUGGCUUAGAAGCAGCCAUCAUUUAAAGAAAGCGUAAUAGCUCACUGGUCGAGUCGGCCUGCGCGGAAGAUGUAACGGGGCUAAACCAUGCACCGAAGCUGCGGCAGCGACACUAUGUGUUGUUGGGUAGGGGAGCGUUCUGUAAGCCUGUGAAGGUGUGCUGUGAGGCAUGCUGGAGGUAUCAGAAGUGCGAAUGCUGACAUAAGUAACGAUAAAGCGGGUGAAAAGCCCGCUCGCCGGAAGACCAAGGGUUCCUGUCCAACGUUAAUCGGGGCAGGGUGAGUCGACCCCUAAGGCGAGGCCGAAAGGCGUAGUCGAUGGGAAACAGGUUAAUAUUCCUGUACUUGGUGUUACUGCGAAGGGGGGACGGAGAAGGCUAUGUUGGCCGGGCGACGGUUGUCCCGGUUUAAGCGUGUAGGCUGGUUUUCCAGGCAAAUCCGGAAAAUCAAGGCUGAGGCGUGAUGACGAGGCACUACGGUGCUGAAGCAACAAAUGCCCUGCUUCCAGGAAAAGCCUCUAAGCAUCAGGUAACAUCAAAUCGUACCCCAAACCGACACAGGUGGUCAGGUAGAGAAUACCAAGGCGCUUGAGAGAACUCGGGUGAAGGAACUAGGCAAAAUGGUGCCGUAACUUCGGGAGAAGGCACGCUGAUAUGUAGGUGAAGUCCCUCGCGGAUGGAGCUGAAAUCAGUCGAAGAUACCAGCUGGCUGCAACUGUUUAUUAAAAACACAGCACUGUGCAAACACGAAAGUGGACGUAUACGGUGUGACGCCUGCCCGGUGCCGGAAGGUUAAUUGAUGGGGUUAGCCGCAAGGCGAAGCUCUUGAUCGAAGCCCCGGUAAACGGCGGCCGUAACUAUAACGGUCCUAAGGUAGCGAAAUUCCUUGUCGGGUAAGUUCCGACCUGCACGAAUGGCGUAAUGAUGGCCAGGCUGUCUCCACCCGAGACUCAGUGAAAUUGAACUCGCUGUGAAGAUGCAGUGUACCCGCGGCAAGACGGAAAGACCCCGUGAACCUUUACUAUAGCUUGACACUGAACAUUGAGCCUUGAUGUGUAGGAUAGGUGGGAGGCUUAGAAGUGUGGACGCCAGUCUGCAUGGAGCCGACCUUGAAAUACCACCCUUUAAUGUUUGAUGUUCUAACGUUGACCCGUAAUCCGGGUUGCGGACAGUGUCUGGUGGGUAGUUUGACUGGGGCGGUCUCCUCCUAAAGAGUAACGGAGGAGCACGAAGGUUGGCUAAUCCUGGUCGGACAUCAGGAGGUUAGUGCAAUGGCAUAAGCCAGCUUGACUGCGAGCGUGACGGCGCGAGCAGGUGCGAAAGCAGGUCAUAGUGAUCCGGUGGUUCUGAAUGGAAGGGCCAUCGCUCAACGGAUAAAAGGUACUCCGGGGAUAACAGGCUGAUACCGCCCAAGAGUUCAUAUCGACGGCGGUGUUUGGCACCUCGAUGUCGGCUCAUCACAUCCUGGGGCUGAAGUAGGUCCCAAGGGUAUGGCUGUUCGCCAUUUAAAGUGGUACGCGAGCUGGGUUUAGAACGUCGUGAGACAGUUCGGUCCCUAUCUGCCGUGGGCGCUGGAGAACUGAGGAGGGCUGCUCCUAGUACGAGAGGACCGGAGUGGACGCAUCACUGGUGUUCGGGUUGUCAUGCCAAUGGCACUGCCCGGUAGCUAAAUGCGGAAGAGAUAAGUGCUGAAAGCAUCUAAGCACGAAACUUGCCCCGAGAUGAGUUCUCCCUGACUCCUUGAGAGUCCUGAAGGAACGUUGAAGACGACGACGUUGAUAGGCCGGGUGUGUAAGCGCAGCGAUGCGUUGAGCUAACCGGUACUAAUGAACCGUGAGGCUUAACCUUACAACGCCGAAGGUGUUU